rnacentral:rRNA from 1 species
GACGAACGCUGGCGGCGUGCUUAACACAUGCAAGUCGAACGGAAAGGCCCUGCUUUUGUGGGGUGCUCGAGUGGCGAACGGGUGAGUAACACGUGAGUAACCUGCCCUUGACUUUGGGAUAACUUCAGGAAACUGGGGCUAAUACCGGAUAGGAGCUCCUGCUGCAUGGUGGGGGUUGGAAAGUUUCGGCGGUUGGGGAUGGACUCGCGGCUUAUCAGCUUGUUGGUGGGGUAGUGGCUUACCAAGGCUUUGACGGGUAGCCGGCCUGAGAGGGUGACCGGCCACAUUGGGACUGAGAUACGGCCCAGACUCCUACGGGAGGCAGCAGUGGGGAAUAUUGCACAAUGGGGGGAAGCCUGAUGCAGCAACGCCGCGUGCGGGAUGACGGCCUUCGGGUUGUAAACCGCUGUCGCCUGUGACGAAGCGUGAGUGACGGUAAUGGGUAAAGAAGCACCGGCUAACUACGUG